rnacentral:lncRNA from 1 species
CUUAGCCAAUCGCACUGGUGUGAGGUGAAAUCUCAGGGUUGUUUUGAUUUGCAUUUCCCUUAUGACUAAAGAUGUUGAACAUUUCUUUAGGUGUUUCUCAGCCAUUCGGCAUUCCUCAGCUGUGAAUUCUUUGUUUAGCUCUGAACCCCAUUUUUUAAUAGGGUUAUUUGUUUCCCUGUGGUCUAACUUCUUGAGUUCUUUGUAUAUUUUGGAUAUAAGGCCUCUAUCUGUUGUAGGAUUGGUAAAGAUCUUUUCACAAUCUGUUGGUUGCCGUUUUGUCCUAACCACAGUGUCCUUUGACUUACAGAAGCUUUGCAGUUUUAUGAGAUCCCAUUUGUCGAUUCUUGAUCUUAGAGCAUAAGCCAUUGGUGUUUUGUUCAGGAAAUUUUUUCCAGUGCCCAUGUGUUCCAGAUG